UACAGAUAAAGAUAAAGAUAAUGAUAAGGUUAAAGCUUUUGAAGCUUUCCGAUUGCAUUCAGCUUCAGAUUGUCAAACGAGCAGAAGCCGCAACAAAAUCGAAAUAGAAUAUAACGUUAACGUUAAAAUAUCACAAGGAAAACACAACCGUUGCGCAGGAGCAGCAGAGGAAAACUGACUGAUGGACCCGGAAAAUCUCGGCAGGCAGGAGGAUUGAGGAUUUAGGAUUUAGGACUUAGGAGCGCUGCAGAUGACAGCAAACAAUGGACCAGGAAAAUGUUGGCCAGGAGUGGAAAAUUGACAAACAAUGGGUCAGUCAGCCAGUCGCUGAGCCGAGGGUGAAGUCGCCAGCCAACAGACCGAGGGUAGAAGAAGAAGCAGCGACGGCCACGGCGGCAUCAAUUUAAUUUAAAUAAUGUGAACUUUCAUGCCAAUGAAAAUGAUUUCAAAAGAGAAACUCAACGCAGUCCAACUCCCAAAACAAACUCGACAACUUCACUUCCGCUACAAAUGCAACAGAGGCAACACAAACGUUGUAAGCAACAACACUGGCAACAUCUUGAACAACGUAAAACAACAAUGAUGACACCCACCCAACCAAAAAAAAGGGUUAACUUGGGCAUAGGGAAAUGCUAAUGGUUUAGGGGAAGACUAUUACCAAAUAGAGAUGGCUAUGGAAUCCCUUUUUAUAGUGCUAAACUAUGAUAGUAAAGCAUAGUACAAUUUUACUAGAAAUAUAGGGGUUAUAUUCAUGUAAAGUUUACUUUUUAUAUAUUAUAUUAUAUUAUAUUUUAUAUUAUAUAAUAUUAUAAAGCCAAGGGAUCUAGCUAGAUCAUUGAGUGUUAUAUCUAUAGUAACUAUUAAAUUCGCUAAAUCUGUUAAUCCCCCAUUUCUUAGAGUGUGCCCGCCACCAUUCACGACAACUCGCCACUCUUUCUCCCAAUUUCCCCGUGGAGUGUCAACAGUUUGACGCAUAUUAAUUUUAAAAACUCCCACGCUCAACAUUUCUUUCAUUUUUUUUUGUUCGUCGUUUUUGGUUCGGUUUUGUAUGGGGGGCUUUUUUUCGCUUUGGUGGGGGGAGUAGUUUCGUUUUGGGUCUUUCACUCAAGACUCGGUCGUCGACGAUUCGAUGCGUCGUCCAUUUGCCUUUGGAGUUACUUUGCAGUCGGCAUUUCUGCGGAGGGAGAGAAAGCUUGGCGUCUCGCCCUGUCCCGCUCUAGCCGUGCAGCUAUCACUCUCGCACUCGCAUUUGCAGUUUUGCUUGCAGUUUUUCGUGAAAGUCGAUUCGCAGUUGCUGUUGUUGUUGCUGUUGUUGCAUUAGUAGUAGUAGUUGUUGUUAUAUAAAGCGUACGAAAUCAUGUAAGUGGAGUGAAAUUUGCCUGCUGCUUAUUUUUUUAACUGCCUUGUUUGGCCUAUGCGAUUGUUUUUCGCACUAAUGAAAACAAUUGAAAGUUGUGGAAAAUUAUGCUUCCAUAAUUAUACCCUUAGCUGAUUUGAACGACUUUUCCACAGCAUUGCACCCAUUGCUCACAUUGAUCCAAUUAAUGGAUCAAUAAACUUUGGAAAAAGGCGUUAGAAACACGAGUUGUUUGUUUUUGCUCAGCUCUGAUCUCAUUUCGAGAAAUCUGCACCGAAAAGCCAUUAAAGUCGCGUCCCAUUUUCAACGCAUAACUUUAAUGCUGUUAAUUUUUACAUAACUGCUGUUGCUCGCUUACAGAUUUCAAAUGCUAAUCAACGUGUGUCACACUUUUUGUGUGGCCCAAAAAAAAAAAAAAAAAUAAAUAAAAAAAACUAGGC